GAACACAAAAUGGCGACACGUGGUUAGCAUUCGUCGCCAACGAGAAAUUGGGGUCGGCCCGAAAGCUCUAGAAUGCACCCCCCUUCUUCCCCGGGGCCUUCCACCUCCGCGAGUUUUAUGACUUAAAAAACCCCACAGGCUGGUCUGAAGAGGAAGACAAACAUAAAGAUGAAGUGCUUAAUUCAAGGUCACACAAUGUCGGGGAUGGACCUCCAGAUUUCCUUACUGGUCACAGAAUUUUCCACACUCCUUGACGGAGGUGCUUAACCCUUAUCCAUCAGCAUUCUCAGACAGCACCUCCGGUUAGGGACAGUAUCUGACCGUCCGACAUCCCUGCAGCCCCCAUGUGUCACACAGACUCAGCCUCAGGUAGAUGGUUUCCGUAGAUGGUGGCUUUCUUUGGACCCUUGACAUCAACCAGUUACUAUUUGGGGACCAGAUGUGCAGAGGUAAUGAAUACCAGGGAAUCAGGAAACCACUGGAUCAGUUCUUUGAGCCACAGAACAACACUCAUCCCAGCAGCUGGGAAGCUAUCUGCAAAAGUCCAUCUGCAGAAAGGGCUUCCUGGUCUUGCGUGUGGCUGGGCCAUUUCUCUGGAUGCAGGUUUUUCAUUAUACAGUCUUCUCAAAGAAACA
rnacentral:antisense_RNA from 1 species